UCCCUGGUGGUCCAGUGGUUAGGACUCAGCACUUCUACUGCUGAGGACCGGGGUUCAAUCCCUGGUCGGGGAA
rfam:TPA: Bos taurus chromosome 17, whole genome shotgun sequence.